GAAAGCAAUCACAACAAGUCUCAGCUUGAUGCUAUUAAUGCAGGGCUUUCACGGAAAACUUUUGUGUUGAUACAGGGUCCACCAGGGACUGGAAAAACACAAACCAUACUUGGGAUUCUCAGUGCCAUUUUGCAUGCAACUCCUUCUAGAGUACACUCGAACAGGGUGAAGUUGAGCAGUGUAAAACGUGGACCAGAAUUAUCCAUGUCAGACAAAUACAAACACUGGGGAAAAGCAUCUCCAUGGUUAGGUGGGACUAAUCCUCUAGACCAAGAAAUGCCAAUAGAUGGGGAUGAUGGGUUUUUUCCUACAUCUGGCAAUGACUUGAAACCAGAAGUGGUCAAUUCCAGUCGGAAGUAUCGUGUUCGUGUUCUAGUUUGUGCUCCAUCAAAUUCUGCGCUCGACGAGAUUGUAUUGCGGAUUCUAAACACUGGUAUCCGGGAUGAAAAUGACCGUGCAUACAGUCCUAAAAUAGUACGAAUUGGUCUUAAAGCUCAUCAUUCAGUGCAGGCAGUCUCCAUGGAUUACCUGGUGGAACAAAGACUGUCCGGCAUGGACUCGCAAAUUGGUGAUAGGCAGAAGCAAGGAGGGCCUGUGAAAGAUAAAGACAGCAUUCGUGCUUCUAUUCUGGAUGAGGCUGUAAUUGUGUUCUCCACUCUUAGCUUUAGUGCUUCUCCUGUUUUCACUAAAUUGAAUCGUGGUUUUGACGUUGUUAUAAUAGAUGAAGCUGCUCAAGCUGUGGAACCAUCGACACUUCUCCCAUUGUCCAAUGGAUGCAAACAAGUAUUCCUGGUCGGUGAUCCAGUUCAACUACCAGCCACUGUGAUCUCACCUAUUGCUGGAAAAUUUGGAUACUGCACCAGCUUAUUUGAGAGACUUCAGAGGGCGGGAUAUCCAGUACAGAUGCUGAAGACUCAAUAUCGCAUGCAUCCAGAGAUUAGGAACUUCCCUUCCAGAGAAUUUUAUGAGGAGGCUCUUGAAGAUGGGCCUGAUGUUGAAGUGCAGACAAAGCGCUCUUGGCACGAAUACCGUUGCUUUGGACCUUUUUGCUUUUUUGACAUUCACGACGGAAAGGAGUCCCA
rnacentral:misc_RNA from 1 species